GCUCCUUGGUGAAUCAUGAUAACUUAACGAAUCGCAUGGCCUUGCGCCGGCGAUGGUUCAUUCAAAUUUCUGCCCUAUCAACUUUCGAUGGUAGGAUAUUGGCCUACCAUGGUGGCAACGGGUAACGGGGAAUUAGGGUUCGAUUCCGGAGAGGGAGCCUGAGAAACGGCUACCACAUCCAAGGAAGGCAGCAGGCGCGCAAAUUACCCAAUCCCGAUACGGGGAGGUAGUGACAAUAAAUACUGAUACGGGGCUCUUUUGGGUCUCGUAAUUGGAAUGAGAACAAUUUAAAUCCCUUAACGAGGAACAAUUGGAGGGCAAGUCUGGUGCCAGCAGCCGCGGUAAUUCCAGCUCCAAUAGCGUAUAUUAAAGUUGUUGCAGUUAAAAAGCUCGUAGUUGAACCUUGGGUCUGGCUGGCCGGUCCGCCUCACCGCGAGUACUGGUCCGGCUGGACCUUUCCUUCUGGGGAACCUCAUGGCCUUCACUGGCUGUGGGGGGAACCAGGACUUUUACUGUGAAAAAAUUUAGAGUGGCUUCAAGGCAGGCCUUUGCUCGAAUACAUUAGCAUGGAAAUAAUAGAAUAGGACGUGGGGUUUCUAUUUUGUUGGUUUCUAGGACCGGCCGUAAAUGGAUUAAUAGGGAUAGUCGGGGGCGUCAGUAUUGUUAUUUCAGACUUGAAAGGGUGAAAAUUUCUUUGGGAUUUUAACUUGAAAGGACUUAAACUUACCUGCCAAGGAAGCCAUUUCUGCCCAAAGGGAAUGGUUUUUUCCAUUUAAAUCCAGGGGAAACCGAAAAAGUUUAAGGGGGGAAUCCGAAAAGAACCGAAUCCCAGAAUUACCCCGGUCCGUUAAGUUCCUUUAAACCCCAUUAAAAACCUUAUUGGCCCCGAAACUUAAGGGGGAAUUCGGGGAACGGAGUGGAAUUUCCUUAUUUUAUUUGGAACCCCCCGGUUUUCCGGGGCCAACCCCUUUUAACCGGAAAGAA
rnacentral:rRNA from 1 species